rnacentral:lncRNA from 1 species
CCCUAAACUACUGAACAGCCAUUCGACAGUGUUUUGCGACAUUUUGGGCUGCCCUUGGCUACCUUUCUUGCAGCAGAUAUUGUGUGGUGGUCUCCAUAGCGCGGCGAUGAGAUGAUUCUUAAGAAUCUUAACUAAUACAAUAAAGCCGUGGAACAGAGUUAGAAUAAUUCUGAAUAGUUAGAUUUCCCCCUACACAUAAUGAUGGUGGAUGUCAAGAGCUGUAGUUUUAUCUAUCGUGGUACACACAGUUGCUCUAUUAUGUCCCUCGAUACAGAUGGAAAGGGAUCAUGACUGCAACACCGAGUUGGAUGAAAUACUAAAUCAGAUAUCCGACUUGGAAAAAUGGAGAGCAAUCUUUAACGAGCAUAGGUUGGAAUUGAGAAAAUAUUGCGUCACUGAGGUAUUGUCGUGCUGUAUUUAGUGGGAGGGUAAGGGUUGCUGAACCACGCUGCAAGAUGACAGACUACCAGGAGCUCCUUCACACCAUCAGGGAUCUGCAGCCCUCCACACUCAGUUAUAUCGAGAUCCUUCAAGAUGAGGUGAAGAGGAACCAGGAUGUGAGUGAUGACAGAUGACUCCAGGCAUCAGGGUCUAUUCUGUUUUAAUUCAGGAGGGAGGGGAGCUAGAUUUGAAUGGAUAUGAAUGGAAUUGACUCCAAUUCUGACAUGCACUAUUGCUGGGUUUGUCCAAUCCUGGAGCCAGUGUCACUGUUUUCUCUUUGUCUUCUAGUUACCUUCCUAUUUCUCUCAUAGAAGGCCUCUUAACGACUACAAAUUGUAUGUGUAGGUUAGUAGCAAGAGUGUGUGUGAUUUUAUCCAGUCACAUGUGCUCCUUAGGCAAGACAGAUAUGCUAUAGAUCUAGGUCCUAGUUGUGCCAUGUCUGACCUGAACGAAACAAAACAGCUAUGUAACACUGUUGACAGCUGAGGUAUGGAGACAGUGAGACA